rnacentral:lncRNA from 1 species
GUGCAAGCUCUUUCAGCCACGGUGAGGAGGAUGAAGCAGAACACUGAGCCUCAUCCUAUCCCAGAAAAUCCAUAGCCGGCUAGGGGAAGAUCGAUAGACCGACCUCCCCAUAGUCUGAGGGUGGGAGCCAGCCGUCUUAGCUACCCCGACAAUCUAGCUCAGUAUAGGCACAGGCGGUCGUCUACUUCGAUCUAGAGGAGGAACUCGACGUCAGGCCAUCUCUUCCCUCGUCACUGCCUAACCCGAGAGGACAAUCUGAAAAGGAGAUUCCAAGAGAUGCAGCAAUAGAUUGACACGCUACAAGCCCUGCAAUGGCUAGAUGUCGACCUGGGACUCAAUACUGACCCAUCGUUCACCCA